CAAGAGCAUUAUCGUAAUAUAGACAUCGUCGUAUAUCUGACGCGUUCUUGCCCCAUCCCGAGUCCCGACUUCCAUUCCUUGCUGGUUCUCUUAACGCAGAAGAAGCUACCAAAUCAAACACGCACUGUCUUAUUAGGGUUUCUAAUCCCUAAACCUCGAUCCAAUUUAACCAGAAACUAGCACACAUCUUUCUAGACAAGAGAGGGGAACUCCGCACGCCGACAAAAAGAGAGGUCUUCACUGGCUUUUCAUGAUCGGAUUCGAUUCUAACAUCCAGUUCCUUAAACUUCCAGCAAAAGAGAAUUUUUCGGAGUUUUAGAUUGCAUCUAUUGUUAUAUUGCUUUAAUCGAUGGAUUUAGACGCUCAGGGAGGCAACAGUCGCGUGUUCCAUAGACUCGGCGCUCAGCCAGCGAACGACACCAGGCAGCAAAAGG
rnacentral:misc_RNA from 1 species